rnacentral:rRNA from 1 species
CCUACGGGAGGCUGCAGUGGGGACUCUUGCGCAAUGGGCGAAAGCCUGCCGCAGCGACGCCGCGUGAGGGAUGAAGGUCUUCGGAUCGUAAACCUCUGUCAGCAGGGAAGAACGGUCACUGUGCUAAUCAGCCGUGAAUUGACGGUACCUGCACAGGAAGCACCGGCUAACUCCGUGCCAGCAGCCGCGGUAAUACGGAGGGUGCGAGCGUUAAUAGGAAUUACUGGGCGUAAAGCGCUCGUAGGCGGUAUGUCAAGUCAAGGGUGAAAUCCCCGCGCUCAACGUGGGAACUGCCUUUGAAACUGGCAAACUGGAGUGUGUGAGAGGAUAGUGGAAUGCCAGGUGUAGGAGUGAAAUCCGUAGAUAUCUGGAGGAACAUCAGUGGCGAAGGCGACUAUCUGGCACAUAACUGACGCUGAGGAGCGAAAGCGUGGGUAGCAAACAGGAUUAGAUACCCGGGUAGUC